rnacentral:rRNA from 1 species
UACGUAGGGGGCAAGCGUUGUCCGGAAUCAUUGGGCGUAAAGCGCGUGUAGGCGGCUCGAUAAGUCUGCUGUGAAAGUCCAGGGCUCAACCCUGGGAUGCCGGUGGAUACUGUCGAGCUCGAGUCCGGAAGAGGCGAGUGGAAUUCCUGGUGUAGCGGUGAAAUGCGCAGAUAUCAGGAGGAACACCAAUGGCGAAGGCAGCUCGCUGGGACGUGACUGACGCUGAGACGCGAAAAGCGUGGGGAGCAAACAGG